rnacentral:tRNA from 1 species
AAGAAAGUGGCAGAAUGGUUAUGCGAAUGGCUUGAAACCAUUAUACGGGGGUUCGAUUCCCUCCUUUCUCG